rnacentral:rRNA from 1 species
AAUCAACGCUGGCGGCGUGCCUCAGACAUGCAAGUCGAACGCGAAAGGCUCCUUCGGGAGCCCGGUAGAGUGGCGCACGGGUGAGUAACACGUAGGUAAUUUGCCUUCGGGUGGGGAAGUAACUCAGGGAAACUUAGAGCUAAUACCGCAUAAUGCAGCGGCUCGACAUCGAGACAGUUGUUAAAGCGGGGGAUUCGUAAGAACCUCGCGCCUGAAGAGAAGCCUGCGGCAGAUUAGCUAGUUGGUAGGGUAAUGGCCUACCAAGGCGACGAUCUGUAACCGGCCUGAGAGGGCGGUCGGUCACACUGACACUGACAUACGGGUCAGACUCCUACGGGAGGCAGCAGUC